rnacentral:rRNA from 1 species
GACAGAGGUCUCGAGCGUUAGGCGGAAUCACUGGGCUUAAAGCGUGUGUAGGCGGACUUGUAAGUACCUUGUGAAAUCCCACGGCUCAACCGUGGAACUGCUUGGUAUACUGGGAUGUCUUGAGCCAUCUAGGGGCUACCGGAACAAAUGGUGGAGCGGUGAAAUGCGUAGAUAUCAUUUGGAACGCCAAUGGUGAAAACGGUAGCUGGGGAUGUGCUGACGCUGAGACAGAAAGCCAGGGAGCGAACGGG